rnacentral:rRNA from 1 species
UUUGGAAACAGAUGCUAAUACCGCAUAACAACGUUGUUCGCAUGAACAACGCUUAAAAGAUGGCUUCUCGCUAUCACUUCUGGAUGGACCUGCGGUGCAUUAGCUUGUUGGUGGGGUAACGGCCUACCAAGGCGAUGAUGCAUAGCCGAGUUGAGAGACUGAUCGGCCACAAUGGGACUGAUACACGGCCCAUACUCCUACGGGAGGCAGCAGUAGGGAAUCUUCCACAAUGGGCGCAAGCCUGAUGGAGCAACACCGCGUGAGUGAAGAAGGGUUUCGGCUCGUAAAGCUCUGUUGUUAAAGAAGAACACGUAUGAGAGUAACUGUUCAUACGUUGACGGUAUUUAACCAGAAAGUCACGGCUAACUACGUGCCAGCAGCCGCGGUAAUACGUAGGUGGCAAGCGUUAUCCGGAUUUAUUGGGCGUAAAGAGAGUGCAGGCGGUUUUCUAAGUCUGAUGUGAAAGCCUUCGGCUUAACCGGAGAAGUGCAUCGGAAACUGGAUAACUUGAGUGCAGAAGAGGGUAGUGGAACUCCAUGU